CUUCAGUCAGUCCUGUCUGUGUCCCUGCUGCUGGGGAGACCUACAGUGUAUUGUGCAUUGUAUAAGAGUUGAUUACAUGUAGUUUUUGUGGCUCGCCCAAGACAGGCAAAGUGGAUAUUAACAAAAGCAGCAUGAAGACACACUCACCAAUGAUGUGUUGGAAAAAAGCAGUACUGCUCGUCCUACAGUAACUCCCAUGACAUCUGAUGAUGAUGACGCUGCGGAAGCAGGUCCAUCAAAAGAAGUCUGGAGCAGCAGAAGUCGGACUUCUGUAACACACCACCAAAAAAAACAUGUGGCAGCAAAGAAAGCAAGGUCUGAUGUCGAGGGCCAACCACAGCAGGCUACCCCGCCACGAAGAUUAUCGACAGUAUGUUCGGUCCCCUCACUCCAAAUUUUGGACACAACUCCAAGACGUGAACCACACUCCCCUCAUCUUGAUUCUUCUAGUCCUGGUAACAGCAUCCCUCCGCAACAACAGCAACACAGUGACAUGGAUGAGACAAUCAUGUUAGAAAUGCAGCCAUUAAGCCAAGGAAUCAGGCCCCCAGCACCUGUGAGUACACCACCACAACACAGCCCAACCACACCAGUAACACAAGGCCCUGAUCACGUGUUUUGGAGCAUUUGGGCUAGACAGCAGGCCACUAAUGAAGAUUGCCUGCGUAGGCAGACACAAAUGUUUGCAAGCCUACCAUGUCACCUCAGAAGAAUAACCAGAAAUAUGAGUAGACAAAAUGAACAAACCACGAGAAUUGGCAAUACCAUGGAACUCAUGCGUGCAGACAUUACACAGGUCAUGGGCAACUUACAGCGCAUAAUGGAAGAACAGCACAGACUAAUGGAAGAACAGCACAGACAACAGCAAAGCUAUAUGAACAUUUUUCAAAACAAUCAAAAGAUAAAUUAAUCUUUAUUCCAAAUUGUAGACAAUCAAAAUGCUGCUACACGUGAACUCAAUGCCACCCUCACUAACCUCAAUGAAACA